CCAGCUCCUACGGGAGGCAGCAGUGGGGAAUAUUGCACAAUGGGGGAAACCCUGAUGCAGCGACGCCGCGUGGGUGAAGAAGUAUUUCGGUAUGUAAAGCCCUAUCGGCAGGGAAGGAAUUGGACGGUACCUGACCAAGAAGCCCCGGCUGACUACGUGCCAGCAGCCGCGGUAAUUCGUAGGGGGCAAGCGUUAUCCGGAUUCACUGGGUGUAAAGGGAGCGUAGACGGCCAUGCAAGCCUGGAGUGAAAGCCCGGGGCCCAACCCCGGGACUGCUCUGGGAACUGUGCGGCUGGAGUGCGGGAGGGGCAGGCGGAAUUCCUGGUGUAGCGGUGAAAUGCGUAGAUAUCAGGAGGAACACCGGCGGCGAAGGCGGCUUACUGGACGGCAACUGACGUUGAGGCCCGAAAGCGUGGGGAGCGAACAGGAUUAGAUACCCCAGUAA
rnacentral:rRNA from 1 species